ACAUUAGCAUGGGAUAAUGGAAUAGGACCCUGUACCUCCUAUUUUCAGUUGGUUUUGGCAGCGCGAGGACUAGGGUAAUGAUUAAUAGGGAUAGUUGGGGGCAUUAAUAUUUAAUUGUCAGAGGUGAAAUUCUUGGAUUUAUGAAAGAUUAACUUCUGCGAAAGCAUCUGCCAAGGAUGUUUUCAUUAAUCAAGAACGAAAGUUAGGGGAUCGAAGACGAUCAGAUACCGUCGUAGUCUUAACCAUAAACGAUGCCGACCAGCGAUUAGGAGACGUUGAAUACAAAACACCACCAUCGGUGCGGUCGUCCUUGGCGUUGGUCUUCUCAAAAGCCAGCGCGGGGGGGUUACUUCGCCGGGGCCCGUGAGUGAGUCACUCCC
rnacentral:rRNA from 1 species